ACGAACGCUGGCGGCGUGCCUAAUACAUGCAAGUCGAGCGGACGAAUCGAAAGCUUGCUUUUGAUUCGUUAGCGGCGGACGGGUGAGUAACACGUGGGCAACCUGCCCUGUAGACGGGGAUAACACCGAGAAAUCGGUGCUAAUACCGGAUAACACGAAAUGUCGCAUGACGUUUCGUUGAAAGACGGCGCAAGCUGUCGCUACAGGAUGGGCCCGCGGCGCAUUAGCUAGUUGGUGAGGUAACGGCUCACCAAGGCGACGAUGCGUAGCCGACCUGAGAGGGUGAUCGGCCACACUGGGACUGAGACACGGCCCAGACUCCUACGGGAGGCAGCAGUAAGGAAUCUUCCGCAAUGGACGAAAGUCUGACGGAGCAACGCCGCGUGAGCGAAGAAGGCCUUCGGGUCGUAAAGCUCUGUUGUUAGGGAAGAACAAGUAACGCAGUAACUGGCGUUACCGUGACGGUACCUAACGAGAAAGCCACGGCUAACUACGUG
rnacentral:rRNA from 1 species